CUUUUGCAAAAAUUGGAAAUUUUAAUAAAGGAUUAUUAUUUUUCAGCAAGCACCUGCAGCUUUGUACCUCUCCAGACUAGUAUUAGUGAUGUAGAAAACUUUCUUGGAAUACACAAGAUAUAAUUACAAUAGAAACCUUUCUACCAAAGCCACAGGUUUAUUCUUAACUGGUGUUCAGGGGGUCUUCACUGUAUCUCCAGUAGAUCCUUGAGAAUUAAAUAGUUUAACGAAUGUAAUGAGCAAACCUGAAAGAAGUACACGUAAAGCAGAAUAUGGACUUGGAUAUUACCUCUCCAAAUUUGCAAAUAACAUAAGUACGGUAUUAAAAGGGAGUGAGAAAUUGCCAAAAAUAAAUGUCUUCAAGUAAUAAGUGCCCCGGAUGGUAUUUUGGCAAAGCAAAGAUUAAAAAAAAUUGAUCUUUUCAUCAUUCUCAUGUAAACUUGCUCAUCUUUGUAAGUCAUGUUUGUAGCUCUCAGGGGUGUCAAACCUAAAGCAGACAAGCCCAGCUGGUGGAAGCCUGGGAGUGAAAUGAUGAAUUUUUUAGCAGAUCUGAGUUUAUUUUUAGGCUUUAUAGAAUUAUGUUUCAUUUCCCUGUGAGUGAAAUUGUAGGAAGUAACUUAGAAGAAAAACAAAUUAAGAAACUUCACUAGAACAGCAAAAAAAUAGCAAAACACUGGACCCUAACUACAACUGAGCAAAACAUAUCCUGAUUGCAUUUGAAAUUGUGGCUACAGUUUAGUCCUGCAAAUAUUUACAUACAUGUUCAGUUUAAUGCAUAUGAGGAUUCUUGAAACAAGCAGUAAGUCUGAAGAGACAGCAGACUACAAGUUAGGUUAUGGCAUGGGGAACUGAACAAAAUUUCUAGUGUGAAUAUAUUUCCUGUGGAUGUAUUUUCCAUGGUGCUGAAUGCAGGAGUAAAAUUGCAGGUGUCUGGAUUUUAUUAGUUUAUGCAGUAAAAGAAGUGCAGAAACAUUUUUGGGGAGAGGAGGGUUCAUAGGAAGGUUUUGGGUCUGGAAUCUUGUUUGGUUAGUGAAGAUAAUUUCAUUAACACAAUCAACCUAUUCAACCCUAUAAUUUCACACUAUCCAUUUUUUGCUGGCAUUACAGAGCUGUUGACUCUUUCCUACAGUUAGAAAAGAAAAACUGCAUUAGUACCUAAGGCAGAUCUGGAAAGAUGCCAUGGACCUGGGAUGAGAAGAUGCGUAUGACAGUUACAGAUCUAGCAAGGGCUGUUUUUUUGCAGGAAGUUUAUUACAUGCAGCUACACAUCCCAUGUCCACUAAGGUCACUAUUUUGAGAUUUUGUUUUAAGUGGAUUUGGCUUUUUGGGCUCUUUUCUGCUCCGUGGAAUAAGUAAGAGGCUGGCAACUGUCCUUGUUUAUCAGAAUUGGUGGUGGUGUUGCCGUGUGGUUGCCUGCGAUAGAAACUGGAUUAGUAAGUGACAAAGAUGCCUCUUUGAAUCCCAUGUCCUAGAAUGUGCUCCUGGGAGCGCUGGGGACUGCAGCCUUCCCCACUGAAACAGCCUCCCCUCUGUUCUGCAGUUGGGAACCAAAGGAGCCACCUUAAAGGAUGAGAGAGUACCUCAGCUUCCAAACUGGCUCAAUCUUUGUCUUCCCAUGCUGUUUGCAUCGAUGCUAAUCAAUGUUAAUUAUGGUAGUGGGGCUUGUGAUGUACUCAUUAUAAAAACCAUCCUAUUUUUCUGUGCUUGUACAGUCUGUCACACAAUAGAGCCCUGAUUGGGGUUCCCUAGAUGCUACAAAUAGUAAUACAAUUUGUUAUAAUAAUGAAUAUGUGGUUCAUGGUGUAAGACUACCAAGCUCAGUUCAUGGAGCUUGGAAGCAUCACUUGAUAAUUCUGUUUGCUGUUACCACUGCCUGUGGCAUUCUGGAUAUGUCUUGACAGUUGGGGCCUCAGCAGUAAAGCAGUAAAGCUUUUGUUUGUAUUUCAAUAGGUGCUUCUUUUUAAAUUUGCAUCUGAGUCUCUGGGGUUUCAAGCAUAAAUAUAUGCUUGAAGUUAACUGUGCUUAAAAACUCUUCUGAUUCAGCAUCCUCACUGUGCUGGGUUCAUGAUCCCACCACCACUCCAUUACUAUACUGGGAGCUGGUAGGUGCUGAAGGAUGGGGAGCCAGGGUGUUUCUUUCCUAGGCUGAGGUUUAGACGUGCAAGAGUGGGAAGGUGCUUCCUCCCAGGUGCUGAGCAGCUGCUGGGUGUAGUUUGUAGCAAGGAUUCCCAGCUGCUGCAGGGGCUGGAAGUGGGUAGAAGCCCAGAGCUGGGAGCUGAUGCUUUCCUUCCUCCCGAGGCUGCGACCCCCUUUUGGUGUCUGGGCCCCCUUGAGCCCCCCCCUAAGAGCUGAUGCCUGAGAGGUGCAGUCUCCUGUGAUGAAUUUGGUUCAGUCCUACUGUUACCCUCACUGGAAAUUUCAGUACCAUUGUUUAUAUUAAUUAAUUUGUAUAAAUACAAUUAAUCCCCUCACUCUGCACCCCCAGGCCUUAACCUUUGUGAGUUUUGGUGACUUAUAUAGACUCUUUUUUCUUUUUUUUUUUUUUUUCCAGAGCAAGUUUUCCACAAUGUUAUUGCUUGUUACCUGGUUUGUUAUGGAUAUUGGUUCUAGUCCCAUAUUUUGAAUUCCCACCAGACUGCAUGAUUGAAUUCUAGUUACCUAUGUGCAGUUCAGGUGUGUAAUUAUCUGCCUGACUCUAGUUUUCUGCUGGAGUGCUGACCAAGCCUGUGUACAAAAAUAUUUUAAAUUGUUGUUACAUUGUCUCUUGAGUGUGCAUGUUGAUUUAAGAGGAAUUCAAGUCAGUGUAGAGCUGCUUCUCUGUUUGUAAUUAAUUUAAAAUAUUUAUUAUAGCAGCUAGAUUUUUCCUGUUAA